ACGCACGCUGGCGGCGUGCUUAACACAUGCAAGUCGAACGGAAAGGCCCUGCUUUUGUGGGGUGCUCGAGUGGCGAACGGGUGAGUAACACGUUAGUAACCUGCCCUUGACUUUGGGAUAACUUCAGGAAACUGGGGCUAAUACCGGAUAGGAGCUCCUGCUGCAUGGUGGGGGUUGGAAAGUUUCGGCGGUUGGGGAUGGACUCGCGGCUUAUCAGCUUGUUGGUGGGGUAGUGGCUUACCAAGGCUUUGACGGGUAGCCGGCCUGAGAGGGUGACCGGCCACAUUGGGACUGAGAUACGGCCCAGACUCCUACGGGAGGCAGCAGUGGGGAAUAUUGCACAAUGGGCGGAAGCCUGAUGCAGCAACGCCGCGUGCGGGAUGACGGCCUUCGGGUUGUAAACCGCUUUCGCCUGUGACGAAGCGUGAGUGACGGUAAUGGGUAAAGAAGCACCGGCUAACUACGUG
rnacentral:rRNA from 1 species